rnacentral:lncRNA from 1 species
AUGCAACGGUGGAAACAGCUGAGCACAGGCAGAGAGGAGCAAUGCCAGGAGCUGAACGUGGGCUGCAAUGACCAGGCAGGGAAAGGGGCUCGCUGCAUGCUGCCCAUCCCACGGGCACCGGUGCCCAUCACCCAGCAGACAUCCGUGCUGCCACCUAUGACUUCACGGAGCAAAGCCUGUGCUGGAUGGAGAAGAGGAACCACUGUAGUGUCAGCACUGCGGCCUCAUGUGUGGGUCCUGUCCCUGUGUGGGUCCUGUCCCUGUGUGGGUCCUGUCCCUGUGUGCAUCGUCUCCCAUUGUGGGUCCUGUCCCUGUGUGGGUCCUGUCUCUAUGUGGGUCCUGUCCUGUCCCUGCAUGAGUCCUUUUCCUGCGUGGAUCUUGUCCCUGCAUGGGUCCUGUCCUGUCCAAUUGUGUGUCCUGUCCCUAUGUGGGUCCUGUCCUGUCCAAUUGUGUGUCCUGUCCCUGUGUGGAUUUGUCCCUGCGUGGGUCCUGUCCCUGUGUGGGUUCUGUCUCUAUGUGGGUCCUGUCCUGUCCCUAUGUGGGUCCUGUCCCUGCGUGGGUUCUGUCCUGUCCCUCUGUGGGUCCUGUUCCUGCGUGAGUCCUGUCCCUGUGUGGGUCCUGUCCUGUCCCUUUGUGUCCUGUCCCUGCGUGGGUCCUGUCAUGUCCUUUUGUGGGUCCUGUCCCUUUGUGUCCUGUCCCUUUGUGGGUCCUGUCCCUGCAUGGUCCUGUUCUGUCCCUUUGUGGGUCCUGUCCCUUUGUGUCCUGUCCCUGCAUGGUCCUGUCCUGUCCCUUUGUGGGUCCUGUCCCUUUGUGUCUUGUCCCUGCAUGAGUCCUGUCCCUGCAUGGGUUCUGUCCUGUCCCUGUGUGGGUCCUGUCCCUGUGUGGGUCCUGUCCCUGCGUGGGUUCUGUCCCUAUGUGGGUCCUGUCCUGUCAAAUUGUGUGUCCUGUCCCUGUGUGGAUUUGUCUCUGCGUGGGUCCUGUCCCUGCAUGGGUUCUGUCCUGUCCCUUUGUGUCCUGUCCCUGUGUGGGUCCUGUCCCUAUGUGGGUCCUGUCCUGUCAAAUUGUGUGUCCUGUCCCUGUGUGGAUUUGUCCCUGCGUGGGUCCUGUCCCUGUGUGGGUUCUGUCUCUAUGUGGGUCCUGUCCUGUCAAAUUGUGUGUCCUGUCCCUGCAUGGAUCCUGUCCCUGCGUGGGUUCUGUCCUGUCCCUCUGUGGGUCCUUUCCCUUUGUGUCCUGUCCCUGCGUGGGUCUUGUCCUGUCCUUUUGUGGGUCCUGUCCCAGUGUGGGUCCUGUCCCUGCAUGGGUCCUGUCCCUGCGUGGAUCCUGUCUCUGCAUGGGUCCUAUCCCUGCGUGGGUCCUGUCAUGUCCUUUUGUGGGUCCUGUCCCUUUGUGUCCUGUCCCUGCAUGGAUCCUGUCAUGUCCUUUUGUGGGUCCUAUCCCUGCAUGGGUUCUGUCCUGUCCCUGCAUGAGUCCUGUCCCUGCAUGGGUUCUGUCCUGUCCCUCUGUGGGUCCUAUCCCUGCGUGGGUUCUGUCCCUAUGUGGGUCCUGUCCUGUCCAAUUGUGUGUCCUGUCCCUGUGUGGAUUUGUCCCUGCGUGGGUCCUGUCCCUGCAUGGGUCCUGUCCUGUCCCUGUGGGUCCUGUCCCUGCGUGGGUCCUGUCCUGUCCCUUUGUGUCCUGUCCCUUUGUGUCCUGUCCCUUUGUGUCCUGUCCCUGCGUGGGUCCUGUCCUGUCCCUACAUGGGUUUUGUCCCUGCAUGGGUCCUGUCCCUUUGUGGUUCCUGUCCUGUCCCUUUGUGUCCUGUCCCUGCGUGGGUCCUGUCCUGUUCCUGUGUGGGUCCUGUCCCCGUGUGACUGCAGCUCGGGGCGGAGGGGACGGAUCAGCUGCAUCCCCUGGACUCAGCGCAGCAGUGCUGAAGUGCUGAGAGCUACGACCUCAUCUGCAGCACCCAAGAGGGCUACGCUGAGCCUUUCCUCCCCAGCACCUCCUGGUUUCAUUUUAAGAGGAUCCAUCACCGCUUCGUGUGCCUUUGAGCACAGCCCGAAAGGCAGGGAGCCUUCCAAACCCCUUUCUCCAGCUUCAAAACUGCUCAUAUCCAAAGUAAAAAUACCAACAUUUCCACCUCCGAGCAGCAGAACGCGUCCAAAUCCCGACGCUGUGCUGAGCUUGGGGUCCCCACUGCCCACCCCCUGUGGAACCACAGCUGUGUUCCCCCCGGCAGCACGGAGACCUCCCUGCUCCCCUUGGCUUUCCUGA